UACGUAGGGUGCAAGCGUUGUCCGGAAUUAUUGGGCGUAAAGAGCUCGUAGGUGGCCUGUCGCGUCGGCUGUGAAAACUCGGGGCUCAACUCCGAGCUUGCAGUCGAUACGGGCAGGCUAGAGUUCGGCAGGGGAGACUGGAAUUCCUGGUGUAGCGGUGAAAUGCGCAGAUAUCAGGAGGAACACCGGUGGCGAAGGCGGCAUCCUGGACCGAUAUUGACGCUGAUGCGCGAAAGCCAGGGGAGCAAACGGG
rnacentral:rRNA from 1 species